AUUGCUUCUUGGCCUUUUGGCUAAGAUCAAGUGUAGGACAACCCUAGAUUUCAUGGGAGCUGGGAUCUCAAAUGAAGACCUACAAAAUGCCAGCCCCCAAUUUUUAUUAUAUUCAAAAGACAUCAAAUUACUCAGUCGACUUGUUUUUAAAAGUUUGUACAUGUGUAAUCUCAAUUUCUGCACUUAGUUUGU